UACGUAGGGGGCAAGCGUUGUCCGGAUUUAUUGGGCGUAAAGAGCGUGUAGGCGGCCAUGUAGGUCCGUUGUGAAAACUCGAGGCUCAACCUCGAGACGCCGAUGGAAACCCCCUGGCUAGAGUCCGGAAGAGGAGAGUGGAAUUCCUGGUGUAGCGGUGAAAUGCGCAGAUAUCAGGAAGAACACCCGUGGCUAAGGCGGCUCUCUAGUACGGUACUGACGCUGAGACGCGAAAGCGUGGGGAGCGAACAGG
rnacentral:rRNA from 1 species